rnacentral:rRNA from 1 species
CUGGCGGCACGCCUAACACAUGCAAGUCGAACGAAGUAGCAUUACUUAGUGGCAGACGGGUGAGUAACAUGUAGGUAUCUGCCCUUUGGCCUGGAAUAACACGAGGAAACUUGUGCUACUACCGGAUAAGUCUUUAGGGAGAAAGCUUUAUGCACCAUUGGAUGAGCCUGCACUUGAUUAGUUUGUUGGUGGGGUAAUGGCCUACCAAGACUGUGAUCAAUAGCUGAUUUGAGAGGAUGAUCAGCCACAUUGGGACUGAUACACGGCCCAAACUCCUACGGGAGGCAGCAGUGGGGAAUCUUGCACAAUGGAGGAAACUCUGAUGCAGCGAUGCCGCGUGAGUGAAGAAGGCCUUUGGGUUGUAAAGCUCUUUCGUCGGGGAAGAAAAUGACUGUACCCGAAUAAGAAGGUCCGGCUAACU